rnacentral:rRNA from 1 species
GAUGAACGCUGGCGGCGUGCUUAACACAUGCAAGUCGAACGAAGCACCUUAUUCUGAUUUCUUCGGAAUGAAAAAUUUGGUGACUGAGUGGCGGACGGGUGAGUAACGCGUGGGUAACCUGCCUCAUACAGGGGGAUAACAGUUAGAAAUGACUGCUAAUACCGCAUAAGACCACAGCACCGCAUGGUGCAGGGGUAAAAACUCCGGUGGUAUGAGAUGGACCCGCGUCUGAUUAGGUAGUUGGUGGGGUAACGGCCUACCAAGCCGACGAUCAGUAGCCGACCUGAGAGGGUGACCGGCCACAUUGGGACUGAGACACGGCCCAAACUCCUACGGGAGGCAGCAGUGGGGAAUAUUGCACAAUGGGGGAAACCCUGAUGCAGCGACGCCGCGUGAGCGAUGAAGUAUUUCGGUAUGUAAAGCUCUAUCAGCAGGGAAGAAAAUGACGGUACCUGACUAAGAAGCACCGGCUAAGUACGUGCCAGCAGCCGCUGUAA